CUCACACGUGUCCGAGAAUGAUCUGAAACCCCAAAUCCCCAAGCAAGUACAUAACUGCAUCUAGGGUUUUAGACAAAGCGGAAAAAAAAAACCCAAAUUAAAGAAUCGGGGAUUCAAAAAAAUCGAAAUCAAAAGCAAAAAUGUUUCCAGGAUUGUUUAUGAAAAAACCAGACAAAGCAGAGGCUUUGAAGCAGUUAAGGUCACACGUGGCCAUGUUUGGUGCCUGGGUUGUUGUGCUCCGUGUCACUCCUUAUGUUCUUCAUUACAUCUCUCAUGAAAAGGAUGAGCUCAAGCUCGAGUUCUAGAUCCCACCUUUCUUUCUGAAGAAGCCUUUGGCGAGCAGUGGGUGAAGUAGAGAGGAGAGGAGGAUGAAGUGAGGGUAUCAGUCAAAUUAUCCUCCAGUGGUCCUGGAGGAGACGAAUUCUGUUGAGAUGAAGAUGAGUGUCCGAGCUCUAUCUAUUUUCUUUCCUUCUUCUUCAGCUGAAAGCACGUGAAGUUAUCUUGUACUUGCAUUAGGUCAUCUUUUCUAGCUUCUUAUGAUUUUGGAGUUUCAAUACUUUGAUAUUAUUUAAUGGCUGGUUGAUGUAUUUAUUCCGUGGAAUAUACUUAGGUGAAAGAAUUUUAUUUCUUA